GUCAGAGGAAGGGGAUUGUGAUGAGAGGAAAGGCCAGGGGACUGGGACACUUUUUCCUUUGUGAUUAUAAAAUUGAACAGACAAGGUUGCUUCAAGCUAGGAAGUUGCUGCUGGAAGUAUUUAGCUUUGCUGGGGCUGGGGGGCUUGACACCCACAGCCUUAUACUCCUUCCUGAGUUUCAUCCCAUCUCACAGGUUCUCCCCAACUUCAUGGCCUUUGCCUAUCUAGGAGCCUCAGACACAUAGGCUAGACAAAGGCCUCAUCCACAUGAUGCGCAGGUAUGGGUCUAGCUCCUGCAUGAGCUCAACAUCUGGGCCUGUCUGAGCUGCACAGCUGAAGAAAGAGACAAGAUGUCUAUAGCCUCACCCACUUGAGGAAUCAGGCAUGGCUGAGAAAGACAUUCGAGUUGUGCAGGUGGUGAUGAUUUGUGCUUUAGAGGAUGGAGGAGGCCUGCAGGGAAGGCGGAGCUGCGGGGAACACUCUCUAGGAGGGAGAGUAACAUGCCUACAAACACCUGGGAAGGGAGUACUUUUAGGAUCAACACUUGUGGACGGGAGAAGAUGGAAGCAGGACUGGGUAGAAGAAGAAGCUGGGCUGCAAUGAAGUCCCAUUGAAGACCUCAGCUGACCUUGCAUGGAGCCUGCAUCCCAUCCAGGAUACCUGUUACAUUUACUUGUCAUAUCUCCUCAAGCUUCUCUUGGCUAUGACAGUUUUUUAGACUUUCCUUGAUUUUGAUGACCUUGACAGUUUUGAGGAGUUCUGGGCCCGAUGUUGCAGAAUGCCUCCUUAUUGAAAUUUGUCUGAUGUUUUCCUCAUGAUUAGAUUGGGGUUGUGAGUUUUGGGGGGAAGGUAAUAGAGGAAAAGUGUCAUCUUCAUCACAUCAUAUUAAAGGUACAUAUUAGUGACAUG
rnacentral:lncRNA from 1 species